UAGUGUGGUUUCUGCUGCUGCAGAUAGUUAUAUUUACUCUUCUCCUCCACCACCUUACGAGUAUAAGUCGCCACCGCCACCAUCACCUUCACCACCACCUCCUUAUGUUUACAAAUCGCCACCUCCUCCAUCCCCAUCACCUCCACCACCUUAUGAGCACAAGGCUCCUGCUUAUGAGUACAAGUCACCACCACCACCAACUCCUUCACCACCACCUCCUUAUGUGUACAAGUCACCACCACCGCCAUCUCCUUCACCACCACCUCCUUAUGUGUACAAGUCACCACCACCACCCUCACCUUCCCCACCACCACCAUACUACUACAAGAGUCCUCCACCACCUUCUCCUUCACCUCCACCUCCUUACUACUACAAAUCUCCUCCACCACCCUCACCUUCCCCACCACCACCAUACUAUUACAAGUCUCCUCCACCACCAUCUCCCUCACCUCCACCACCAUAUUACUACAAGUCUCCCCCACCACCCUCACCCUCCCCUCCACCCCCAUAUAUACACAAGGAUCCACCAUACUAUUACAAGUCCCCACCACCACCUUCACCAUCUCCUCCACCACCAUACUACUACAAAUCUCCCCCACCCCCUUCACCGUCUCCUCCACCACCAUACUACUACAAAUCUCCUCCUCCUCCAUCUCCUAUUCCCAAAACACCUUACUACUACAAAUCUCCCCCACCCCCUUCACCAUCUCCUCCACCACCAUACUACUACAAAUCUCCCCCACCCCCUUCACCGUCUCCUCCACCACCAUACUACUAUAAAUCUCCCCCACCACCGUCACCCUCUCCACCACCACCUUACUAUUACAAGUCUCCUCCCCCACCUUCACCAUCUCCUCCACCACCAUACUACUACAAAUCUCCUCCUCCUCCAUCUCCUAUUCCCCAUACACCUUACUAUUACAAAUCUCCCCCACCACCUUCACCAUCUCCUCCACCACCAUACUACUACAAAUCUCCUCCUCCUCCAUCUCCUAUUCCCCGUACACCUUACUAUUACAAAUCUCCCCCACCACCUUCACCAUCUCCUCCACCACCAUACUACUACAAAUCCCCUCCUCAUCCAUCUCCCAUUCCCCAUACACCUUACUAUUACACAUCUCCCCCACCACCUUCACCGUCUCCUCCACCACCAUAUUACUACAAAUCUCCUCCCCCUCCGUCUCCUAUUCCCCACACACCUUACUACUACAAGUCCCCACCACCACCAAAGGUCCUUCCACCACCAUACUAUUACAAUUCUCCUCCUCCACCUGUUGUGUAUCCUCACCCAUAUCCCUACCACCACUCACUUAUUGUGAGGGUAGUCGGUAAAGUCUACAGCUUCAGAUGUUAUGAUUGGAAUUAUCCUGCAAAGUCUCAUAACAAGAAACAUCUCAAAGGUACAUUACAUUUCUUAGGACCGGACCUCUUUAGAGUAAUGUGUUUAGAGAUAAUGCACAAUUUUUUAUUUUUUUAUCUCGUAAAGGUUUAUUUAUUAUAAUCACAAUUUCACUUUUGUCAAAAAGAAAAACAAUUUUACUAUAUAUAGUUUUAAUCAUUAACAUUUUGAUGUAAAAAGAAUACAAUUCUCUAUUACCUUUUUACUAUGAUAUAUAUACAAAGAUUAUUCAAAUCUAUAUAUCCAACCUAAUUUCCAUCCAAAAAAAUAGAAAACAUAGGGUGCUUUGAACGCCUGCAGCAUCACAUGAAUAAAUAAAAACAAUCAAUAAUCAACCUUGUUCUAAUUUAUUUUAGACAGCGAUUGUUAAGCAUACUGCUCUUUUAAUUACAUUUUUUUUAAAGAUGCUCUUUUAAUUAUAUUGUCCUAAUAUAAUAUGUGUCUUUAUAUAUUACUUGUCGUAAACUAAUUUUAUUAUGGGUGCAGGAGCUGUUGUUGAGGUGACAUGCAAAGCCGGGAGCAAAAUUGUCAAGGCUUAUGGAAAAACUAAGAACAAUGGAAAGUAUGCCAUCACAGUUAAGGACUUUGACUAUGUCAAAUAUGGUUCGACAGUGUGCAAGGCUGCCCUAUAUGCUCCACCUAAGGGUUCACCCUUCAACAUACCUACAAAGCUAAAUCAAGGAACAAAGUUGUACUUGAAAUCCAAAGACAAGUACGAGGUUGUGCUCAAGGCUAAGCCAUUUGCUUAUGCUUCAAAGAAACAUUUCAAAGAAUGUGAGAAGCCUAAGCCUUCACCAACUCCUUACUACUACAAAUCACCUCCACCUCCCUCACCAGUUUACAAAUACAACUCACCACCUCCACCGGUCCAUUAUUAUUCACCUCCAUACACCUACAAGUCACCUCCUCCCCCUGUGAAAGCGGCACCAACUCCUUACUACUACAAAUCACCUCCACCACCCGCACCGGUUUACAAGUACAACUCACCCCCUCCACCGGUCCAUUAUUAUUCACCACCAUAUACCUAUAAGUCACCUCCUCCCCCUGUGAAAGCGGCACCAACUCCUUACUACUACAAAUCACCUCCACCUCCCGCACCGGUUUACAAGUACAACUCCCCACCUCCACCGGUCCAUUAUUAUUCACCUCCAUAUACCUACAAGUCACCUCCUCCCCCUGUGAAAGUGGCACCAACUCCUUACUACUACAAAUCACCUCCACCACCCGCACCGGUUUACAAGUACAACUCACCACCUCCACCGGUCCAUUAUUAUUCUCCACCAUACUACUACAAGUCACCACCCCCACCAUCUCCAUCACCUCCUCCACCAUACUAUUUCAAAUACUAUUACAAGUCCCCACCUCCACCAUCACCAUCCCCUCCUCCACCUUAUUAUUACAAAUCUCCUCCUCCACCAAAACAAAUUUCACACCCUCCAUACUACUAUAAGUCACCACCCCCACCAUCACCAUCACCUCCUCCACCAUACUAUUAUAAGUCUCCACCUCCACCAUCACCAUCUCCCCCACCACCUUAUUAUUAUAAGUCACCACCCCCACCAUCCCCGUCCCCUCCUCCACCAUACUACUACAAGUCUCCACCUCCACCUAAAGAAAUAUCACAUCCUCCAUAUAACUAUAAGUCACCACCCCCACCAUCACCAUCCCCUCCCCCUCCAUACUAUUACAAAUCUCCUCCACCACCAUCACCAUCACCACCACCUCCCUACUAUUACAAAUCACCUCCACCACCAUCACCAUCACCUCCCCCUCCAUACUAUUACAAAUCUCCUCCACCACCAUCACCAUCACCACCACCUCCUUACUAUUACAAAUCACCUCCACCACCAUCCCCAUCACCACCACCUCCAUACUACUACAAAAGUCCCCCUCCACCAUCUCCAUCUCCUCCAUCCCCAUAUUACUACAAAUCUCCACCACCACCAUCACCAUCCCCACCCCCUCCCUACUAUUACAAAUCACCUCCACCUCCCUCACCAUCACCGCCACCUCCUUACUAUUACAAAUCACCUCCACCUCCCUCACCAUCACCGCCACCUCCUUACUAUUACAAAUCUCCCCCACCUCCAUCUCCAUCUCCACCACCUCCUUACCACUAUCAAAGUCCUCCUCCACCAUCUCCCAUUUCUCAUCCUCCCUACUACUACAAAUCCCCUCCACCACCAUCGCCGUCUCCUCCACCUCCUUACCACUAUGUGAGUCCUCCCCCACCAGUAAAGUCACCUCCACCACCAACUUAUAUCUAUGCUUCACCACCACCACCUCACUACAACUAAGCUCAAAGAGCAGAAGCUCCGUUCAUUAUAAAUCAUGUAAGUUUAUCAUCUUCAAUUUUCUGAAUGUGUGCGUGUGUAUUUGUUUUUUUGUUACAAGAUACUAACAAAAUUCUUUUCUUAUUUAUGUUCAGGUUUUAGUUUUCAUCUAGGAAUAAAGGCAAGCUCCAUUUGGAGUAAAGUGAAACUUCUAGCUUCGUGUCCGAAUUCGUUAAAUAAAUGUCGGGAUGUAUCGUCUUUGAGCUAUAAUAUUUCUGAUCCAGACAAUAUCUAUUUUGUUUCUUUGGUGGCAAUCUUGCACUUCCUGGUCUUAGUCUAUUCAAGUGACAGACAAAUCAAAAGGGAGAAGCGAGAUUAAUUUAUUUGUGAUCUCUUUGAUUUAUUUGUGCAUAUAUCAAUAUGAACGUGUAUGAUAUUUUUCUAUUUAUUGAAGAUUUUUUUACUGUAACCUGUUAUUGUGUUUGUCAAAAGGUGUUAAUAAAGAAUCACAUUCAAUUUCUGUUAAAUUAUCAGUAUUUGUUUCUUUCUAACAACUACCAUUCAUGCAAAUGUGGCUAUUAAAAAAAGCUCCAAUGACACAUAAAAAGCUUCCAAACAAUAUAUAAACAAAGAUGCAUUGUUUUCUGUUAAGAAGGGGACAGGGUUACGGUUACUUGUGUACCAAGUUAGUUAUCCAUGCUUUCUUGUUCAUAGGAUUUAUAUGGUGUAGUUGCACUUAGUUGCUAAAUGUAUGCAAGCUUUUCCUUUCUAUAAAUAAGCACACCUACUAUCAUUCUUCUCCACAUUCCUUUCUACUCUUCUAUCAUGAAUUGUUCAUCCACAUAAGAUGGUCACAGAGCACACCUAAUACUCUGCUACUGGUGUAUCAGUUCCUUUCCACCAGAAACUUAUGAUCUCUAAUUGAAAGAGAUCCUAAAGUUUUAAGAUUUCUACAAAAUACAUUAUUCUCAUUUUUGUACAAGUAUGAUACAAUUAUUCCCAAGUAUUAUUUAUUCUAAGGAAUAGAAUUUAGUUGUGGUUUCUCUAUUUAACCAACAUUUAUUUUUAAAUAACUAAAUUUAAAAAAAAAAUCCUGAAAUUAUUAAGUACAUACCUAACACAUUGUAAAAUUUUGUUCCCAAAGAAAAUAUUUUUGGCAAUAGAAUUUUCAGGAACUUCAUUCCUAGGAAUAUAAUUCUAUACUAAGAGAAGAGCUUAAGCAUUGAUACAUAACAAGACCAAUCCAUAUCCUAAUCACAAUCCUACUUUCACUAAAUACUUUCACUUAAGUGUGGUCUUGGAAAGGACAAAUGAAGAAAGACAUUCCAGAGGUAUGGUAAGGGACAAUAUCUGCAGUUAUGCACAUAUUGCAAGAUUGUGAGGAACUACCGGACUGAUUUGAUUCACCAAAAAAUUUGGAAUAAAUAUUUCAGCCCAGAACUCAGACAAUGACUGGAUUGGAACCUUUCAGCUUCUAAUAUCGGUACUGUCCAAGGAAAUAGUCAUUCUCUUUUUGGAGUAGCUGUGAAGGAUUUAUGGAAAGAUAGAACUAAGCUGGUCUUUUCUAGAAACACCGCGAUUGGAACUACUCUAUUUUGGCUUGUAGCCAAUCCGGCUAAGUUUAUUAACAAUGUAGUUUGUACUCAAGCUCACAGUCACGAUGUUGUCAGCAACAGUGGGCAUAUUGUUUAGGUAGCCUGGAAUUUUCCUCCCCAACACUUCUUCAAAGUGAAUAUGAUGGAUCUCUACGGGAUUAUGUUAGUUUCCAGGAUCGAACUCAGAACCUCCUGAUUAUAACUCCUUCAAUGUAUGUCCCUUACCCACGUGGGGCCUCGGCUGUAAUUGUUAACAUGGUAAAAUUUGGCUCUUCCAAUAAUGGUUUUAUCCAAACUCGAGGUUGUUUAUCGUCUCCAACAAUCAGAUUGGAGAAUACUAGUGGUUCAUGCAUUUGAACAAACCAACUGUUGUGCAGAUUUUCUAGUUGAUUUUGUUUUUCCUUUUUUGAGUAUUUUAUUAGCCAAUGAUAUAAGAGGUUGUAGCCUACCUCUUUUGAUUUCUUAAGACAAUCACUUUUGCAUUAGAAAAAAACGACCCUACAUAAAAUUAAUGAUUGAAUUAAGAUAUAACUUCAGUUUGAAAUAUUGUAAAAUUCUAUACCACCAAAAACUGAGAAUUUUAGAACCAUACAGGUUGGUGGAGUGGUCAUCCAGAUAACUUUAACAUAAUUAACAGUCCAAAAAGUAAAUAGCUUUAUCCUUUAUUUUCAAUCUGAUGUGAUUUACUCUUAUCUGUUAAACAUUAUAAUUAAGAAUCCAAAGGGAACACUCACCUAAUCUCUCUCUUUUUUCUAGCUUUUUCACUAAACCACUGUGUCUGUGGUUACCACAUUUCCUUAUGGAAUCAAUAUCCAAUUUAUGUUAAAAACCAUUUCUACAUUUUGUGUUAAAAAUGAUCUAAACAAAGAUGAUUUAUUUCUCUUAAAUUCAACAUAGAUCAUAUUUACAUGGUUCAAACUUUCUAUUACACGGCAUUGACUUAGUUGCUUCACAUGGGGACACAACUAAUGCAUAUAUUAUUUUAUAUGCUUAUAGUAAUUUUAACAAGUGGCAAUGGGGCAUAUGUUUUGUCAAAAAAACACAAAAAACAGGAGGCAUGUGCAACUGAAGUCACUGCCAGCUUGGCACUAAGAUAUAGUAAAAUAAUUGACAUUUGAAGAAAACAAAGACGUUGCUACAUUUCUAUUCAAACAAGCGACAUCAAUAUCAGACAAUGGUGCUACAUUUAAUAAUACUACAGCUAUCCCCAUAAGCACCUCUUAGAAAGAAAAAAAAAUAUCCAUUAAAUUAAUGUUGGAAGAGUUAGCAACAUGUCCUCUCCCAAAAAAACUCAUGUUUGAUUCCUAGAGUCGUCCAUUUCGAAAGAAGCUCAACCCUGAUAAUAAAAACCUAGAUGUUAUGCUGCAGACUUAAAGAUCAAUUUCAUAAUGGAUCCAAAGGGCCUAAGCUGUGUGGGAUACUUAAGGGGGUAUAUUGAGGCUAAGGGUCAAAGAUCUUAAUUAUGGUCGGUUAAAAAAAGAAGAAAAAAAAAUUAUCUCUAAAUAUAAAGUCAACAAUAUUUCAAAUUGCAAGAUACAUUUAUUUAUUUUUUAAAUAUGUAUAUACCUCUUAUUAAUACUUACUAAUUUGUUUUGAGUGAUAAAAAGUUACGAGUUAGACAGAUCAGCACAUAAAAAAAGUAUUUGAAAAACAUCUACCAACAAAAUAAACACAUUAAAAACAAUACUACUUUUUUACAAUACUGUAUGUGAAAAUGACAAAAUCUUGAAAAAGAUGGAGGUAACAUGUACUCUUUUUUUUUUAGAGGGGAGCAUGUACUUUUCCACUAACAAUGUUGAUAAGAAACAUAUAAAAUACUAUUAGAGAAAGAAAAAAAAUAAUAAAUAAAGAAAUAUAUAAAAUACUGAGGAAUGACUCACUCAUGUCAAAUUUUAGCAAGGGAGAAGUGAUAUCACAUCAUUUUAGAAGAGGAAUGAGAAUAGAUAGAUCUAAUUUUUCUAGUAAGUUUGAAUAGUAGAAUCAUACUUCUUUGUCUUUUGUGAAAAUUUCAUAUUAUGGGAUCUAUUACUAGAAUACAGGUGAUUUUAUUCUGGAAGAUUGACUUUUUAUUAAAAUAAAAUAAAAGUACAUUUUUUAUUUCCAAAUGCUUAGUUGUUCAUUUAUAAAUAUUACAUUAUCCAACAGCACCAAACCCUAUUUCAUAACGGUACUCUGCACGUUUCAUUCAUUUACUGGUGCCUUAGUUUUUUGUUACAAACAGACAUUGAUCAGAGGAACAAAUGUAGAGACAAAUUGAAGAUAAUAUAUCACAUAAUAUUGUAGACACACCUUCACAUACAAAUGGGGUAAAGUCCCUCAUAGUAGUAUUAGAAAUAACACUUAGAGUAAAAUUUUGCUAAAUUUAACAUGAAAAUAAGUGUAAUGUAUUUUAUAGGCAGCUAUACAUAAUUAUUAAUUAGAACAAUUUUUUACACUGUCAAACAAAAAUUGAACAAUUUUUUACUAGCUUUAUGCUUUAUGAUGUUUUGAUUCCAUGUGCACAUUUCAAUUUUAGAACUAUUCCUUUCUAUGUUACUGAAAUAAUUCUAUCAUUAGGCAUUGACAUUUCCAUUAUGCGUGCACGUUAAAGUGUUUUCCCAAACAGAGAAAUAUUAAGAAAGGUUAAACUUUUGACUUAAAGACACAACUAAAAUAAGAUCCAAGGAAAACCCCAUUGAUUAUUUCUUGCACAAAAUUAAAAACCCCAUUGAUUAUUUCUUGCACAAAAUUAAAAUGCUAAUAAUUUUUCCUGGUCUAUAUUUUUCUCCUUCCGGGAAAUGGCAACAUCACAUGUUCAUCUCAUAAUUGAGAAAACACAUGUCUGGGAAAAUAUCUUAAAGAAAAGGCAGUAAAGUAAUAAAAAGUGCACCAAAUAGAGAUUAACUAGUACUCUUUGCAUGUCAACUAAGUGGUAUAAUUAUGUAUAUCACAUUCUUAAUAUUGAUUAUCUUGAUUGCACGAUAAGCCCCUCAAAUUGCUCAAUCGAUGAUUGCUUGAUAAGCCCAUCAAAUUGCCCAAUCGAUCGAAUCGUAACUUUCGAUAGACAUUUUUUUUAAGAAAACCCAAUUGGAUCAUAACUCCCCAUAGUCAUUUAUUUGAAAUUGUGAGCAAUUUGAUAACUUAUUGAGCAAUCACCAUUGAUUUUAGUCUCAAUUUAUCCUAAUGUUGUAACCCUGGAAUAAUGGAACAGUGAGUAAAUUUGGUUUCUCCGUCUCAAAAUAAGUGUCACAAUUUAACCAUGUGCACUACUCAUCAAAUCUACUUUGACAACAUUUUUUUUACUAAUAUAUAAAGACAAUGUUAGUACAUUACAUGUUCGAUUUGUCUUAGUUAAUGUUUUUAAAAUAUCGACUUUAUUAUAAUUUUUCUUAAUAGACAAUCAAAAAUAUCAAUUGUCAAAAUUGUGUAUUGAUAUGUAUGAAAAUCAAACUAUAACACUUACUUUGAGACGAAGAGAAUAACUAUUAAAAACUAAUGUUCAAAUAGAAAGAAAAGAAAACAAAGAUUCCAUACAAAGCUUGCAAAAUAGCUACAAUCAUAACCUAGAACAAAAAUCAUGACCACACACUAUAUCCAUUUUCCUUUUCCUAAAAAGCAAUUGAAGAUAAAAAAAAAAAAAAUAAUAAAUAAAAAAAAAAAAAAAAAAAAAAAAAANACCACCAUACUACUACAAAUCCCCACCUCCACCAUCGCCUUCUCCUCCACCACCAUACUACUACAAAUCCCCACCUCCACCAUCGCCUUCUCCUCCACCACCAUACUACUACAAAUCCCCACCUCCACCAUCGCCUUCUCCUCCACCACCAUACUACUACAAAUCCCCACCUCCACCAUCGCCUUCUCCUCCACCACCAUACUACUACAAAUCCCCACCUCCACCAUCGCCUUCUCCUCCACCACCAUACUACUACAAAUCCCCACCUCCACCAUCGCCUUCUCCUCCACCACCAUACUACUACAAAUCCCCACCUCCACCAUCGCCUUCUCCUCCACCACCAUACUACUACAAAUCCCCACCUCCACCAUCGCCUUCUCCUCCACCACCAUACUACUACAAAUCCCCACCUCCACCAUCGCCUUCUCCUCCACCACCAUACUACUACAAAUCCCCACCUCCACCAUCGCCUUCUCCUCCACCACCAUACUACUACAAAUCCCCACCUCCACCAUCGCCUUCUCCUCCACCACCAUACUACUACAAAUCCCCACCUCCACCAUCGCCUUCUCCUCCACCACCAUACUACUACAAAUCCCCACCUCCACCAUCGCCUUCUCCUCCACCACCAUACUACUACAAAUCCCCACCUCCACCAUCGCCUUCUCCUCCACCACCAUACUACUACAAAUCCCCACCUCCACCAUCGCCUUCUCCUCCACCACCAUACUACUACAAAUCCCCACCUCCACCAUCGCCUUCUCCUCCACCACCAUACUACUACAAAUCCCCACCUCCACCAUCGCCUUCUCCUCCACCACCAUACUACUACAAAUCCCCACCUCCACCAUCGCCUUCUCCUCCACCACCAUACUACUACAAAUCCCCACCUCCACCAUCGCCUUCUCCUCCACCACCAUACUACUACAAAUCCCCACCUCCACCAUCGCCUUCUCCUCCACCACCAUACUACUACAAAUCCCCACCUCCACCAUCGCCUUCUCCUCCACCACCAUACUACUACAAAUCCCCACCUCCACCAUCGCCUUCUCCUCCACCACCAUACUACUACAAAUCCCCACCUCCACCAUCGCCUUCUCCUCCACCACCAUACUACUACAAAUCCCCACCUCCACCAUCGCCUUCUCCUCCACCACCAUACUACUACAAAUCCCCACCUCCACCAUCGCCUUCUCCUCCACCACCAUACUACUACAAAUCCCCACCUCCACCAUCGCCUUCUCCUCCACCACCAUACUACUACAAAUCCCCACCUCCACCAUCGCCUUCUCCUCCACCACCAUACUACUACAAAUCCCCACCUCCACCAUCGCCUUCUCCUCCACCACCAUACUACUACAAAUCCCCACCUCCACCAUCGCCUUCUCCUCCCCCACCUUACUAUUACAAAUCCCCACCGCCACCUUCACCAUCUCCCCCACCACCCUACUACUAUAAAUCACCCCCACCACCUUCACCAUCUCCUCCACCACCAUACUACUACAAAUCACCCCCACCGCCAUAUGAACACAAGACUAAACCAUACUAUUACAAGUCUCCUCCACCACCAUAUGAACACAAGACUAAACCAUACUAUUACAAGUCCCCACCACCACCUUCACCAUCUCCUCCACCACCAUACUAUUACAAGUCCCCACCACCACCUUCACCGUCUCCACCCCCACCAUACUACUACAAAUCACCUCCUCCUCCAUCACCUAUUCCCCAUACACCUUACUACUACAAGUCCCCACCACCACCUAAGGUUCUUCCACCACCAUACUAUUACAACUCUCCUCCUCCACCUGUUGUGUAUCAUCACCCUCAUCCCUACCACCAUGCAUUGAUCGUGAAGGUAGUGG
rnacentral:lncRNA from 1 species